CCGCACGCACCCCCUGACCCAACAAUAGCCCCAGCUCCUCUCCCCGUGGUGCGCAGGGUGGUAUUGCCCGGCCGCUGACUCAGGUGGGAGUGGCGCGUACCAUCCUCCUGCGGUGGGGGAGGUUGGAAUAGAGCAGGGGCGAGGGCCAGGAGACGGUAACUGCUAAGGGAGCCGAUAUCCGCGAGUAACUUGUCGCAUCCGGCCCCAGAAGGUUCAGGGCCAGCGAGGACAACAGAAGUAUCCAGAGAGGCCUCCCUCCCACCACAUAAUACAAGCCGUAUACUCAAGUGAAAGGUCUGGAUCUUACAAAGGUCUCUGAGGCAAGCCCAAAGAAUGCCCUGGAGUGGUGAGGAAACUGAGGCAGGGAAAUUCAGGGACAGAAGAAGGGGAGAGUUCUAGCAGCUCUAUAGAAGAGUGAACAACUUCUCAGGAAGAACCUGACCAUCACAGGUGAUGCCCAUCAGGGACUUUCAUGGAUAGAUGUUGAAAACCCAUGAAGAACAAGUCAGAUGACUGAAACAACAUUUCCAUUCCAUAUUAAACUGUUCAAAGCUAACAAUCAUGCACAUGUUCAAGAGAAAUGCCAAUGUUAAAUUAGAAGUAGAAGAGGGACCAAUAACACCUGAUGAGAUUAAACCAAUUAUCAAAGGCCUCAAACAGAGGAAGGAUCCUGCGGCUGACAGAACUGAAGCAGAAGUACUAAAGGCAGGAGGAGAAAUUCUGAUUCAGCAGUUAACAAAUCAUUCAGUAUUGCUUAAUAAAAAAUGGAAUC